rnacentral:lncRNA from 1 species
GGGGCACUUCCGGUCAUGGGGCGUCCCGGAGCUCUGGAUGUAGACAGGGUGCUGCUGCGUCGCACCCCCAUAUGCAUGGAGGAUGGUUAUAGCUACCCACAAUGAGCACCCCCUGCUUAUUACCUGCUCCUCUAUGUUUCAAGGGACCCCUGCCCACGACGUCCAGCCCCAGCGAGCAUCUCUUCUCGCCAGACGACAGCCUAAGUCUACCUUUGCCCGUGCCAGGACGUGUCGGGAGCCCGUCCUCCUGUCCACCGGACCCUCCCUGGAUCUCCUGAUGGUGGAGAAGGGUAGUGACCCCCAAUGGGUAUUCAGGCAGCGCUUGUCUGACCCUGACAUGGGCAAGGGUGUGGCUGGGAGAUUGAUCCAUUCUGGCUUUACUUGUGUGUGCAGGGUGUGGCAGACAGAGGGGCAGCCUAUUCAAGGCGUGAGGGGGGUACUGUGGACUAUAACAGUCAAAUGCAUGAAAGACUGGAGAUUGAGGCCAGACUGGAUUUAUGUUCUUCAACUCCCUAAUCUGUCAUCCCCAGGCCUGGCAAGAAUAUUGGGAAAUAGCCUUGCAUGGCUUUAGACAGGUCGAACCUUGACAGUCCAUUGAUAUAUUCACGACUACUCAGGGCAGUGCUCUGUAGCUCCAAAGAGCCAUCCAUAUUAUGAAGUCCCUGGACCCCAAGCCUGCUGGCCACCUAUGCCUGGAGUAAAUGCCCUAGGUACCUAUAGAGACCAACCCUGGACAUGACCCUGGGGAGACCAGAGUUCUAGCCUCUGCCCUCUCUCCCCUCUUCCUUGGCCUCCCCUCCCUUAUAUUGAAAAGUCUUUGUGACACUCUUGUGCUUUUCUUGGUAGACCAUGUAGACUGGAUGCUUUAGGAGUCAUAGCCUUUCUCAUCUUAGGCGAGCCCUAACCCCUAACUGUGGGUUCUCUAGGGACCAGAAACACUCUUCUUUCCUGCCUACACACAUUUAGGCACACAUAGAAGGAAGCUGCUUGUCUCUCGGUUUUACUAGGAUGUGUGUUCACAUGUGUGCACAUGAGCUAUCUCCGUGAUGACAUUCUUACGCACCCUGGGUUUUCACACAGAUGGGUUACCUACCAAAUCACCUGCCUCUCUGCAGGAUCCCUGGCAGGCUAGAAACCCAGGGAAGGGAAGGGGAGCCAACCUUUCCCUCUGGGAAACCCGAAGGAGGUGAUGAAUGUGUGUACCUGCCAUGUUCCAUGCAUGUGCGUGUUCCUGCCAUGUUCCAUGCAUACAUGCAUUCCUGCCAUGUUCCACGCAUGCACGUGUUCCUGCCCUGUUCCAUGCAUGCAUGUGUUCCUGCCAUGUUCCAUGCAUGCAUGUGUUCCUGCCAUGUUCCAUGAAUGCACGUGUUCCUGCCAUGUUCCAUGCAUGCACGUGUUCCUGCCAUGUUCCAUGCAUGCACGUGUUCCUGCCGUGUUCCAUGCUGUGCUCCCUUCCCAUGUUCUUGGGCCCUGUUGUCAAGUGAGCAGCUGGGAAAAUGGAGAAACAGAUUUUCAAAUGGAGUCCAUAUGUCUCAAGUAUCAUGCAGCCAGACACAGUGGUGCAAGCUUGAAGUCCCAGCUACUCUGGAGGAUCAUGAGUUCAAAACCAACCCAAGCAAUUUAGUAAGACCCCCAUCUCCAAAAACAUUAAAAGGUGGGGGUUGGGGGUAAGCUUACCAGUGCUGGGCCUGACUUAGAAUCCCCUCAGUGAGGGGCUGAAGUUGUGGUUAGAUAGCAGACUGAUUACUCAGAAUUCACACCAGUGAGAAGCUGGGGUAUGACUCAGUGGAAGAGCAUUUGCCUAGAAACCACUGCUGAGGAUCUGGGAGCAUGCGGUACCGAGCUUACGAAAGGCUUUGGAUUCCAUCCCCAGCUCCUUUGAAAACAAAACAGAACAGAACAGAUAGGACGUUAGUUAGUAUUGCCUGCUGUGGGCGAUUGGAACUCCAGUGGAAUUCGAGGCUACUUUUUUGGAGGGGAAGGGAGUAAAGAAAACAUGUAUUUAAUUCACAGUUUUGGAGACUGGAAGUUCAAACAGCAUGGCAGAUUCUAGUGAGGGAUCCUGGCUGCAUCACACUGUCAGGGGAAUGUGUGUGUGUGUGUGUGUGUGUGUGUGUGUGUGUGUGUGUGUGUGUAUGUAUGACUGGCUCAAGAUAGUGUGAUGGCUAAUCUUGAGUGUCAAGUUGAGGCACUUAGGAAAAGAGCUCUCAGUUGAGAAAUUAGCUCCAUCAGAUUGGCCUGUGGGUAUGUCUGUGCAUUUUCUUGAUUGCCAAUUGAUGUGGGAGGGCCCAGCCCACUAAGGGCGGUGCCACCCUUAGGCAGAUGGACCUGAACCGUUUAGAACAGGGUAGCUGGACAAGACUGUGAGCAGCCUUCCUCCAUGGUUUCUACUUCCUGCCUCUAGCUUCCCCCUUGGCUGCCCUUGAUGACAGGCCGUAAGCUGUCAGCCAGAAUAAAUCCUUUCCUAAGAUCU